UACGGGGGGGGCAAGCGUUGUUCGGAAUUACUGGGCGUAAAGGGCGCGUAGGCGGUUUGCUAAGUUGGAUGUGAAAACUCUGGGCUUAACCCAGAGCCUGCAUCCAAAACUGGCAAACUUGAGUACUGGAGGGGAAAGCGGAAUUCCUGGUGUAGCGGUGAAAUGCGUAGAUAUCAGGAGGAACACCGGUGGCGAAGGCGGCAUCCUGGACCGGCAUUGACGCUGAGGCGCGAAAGCCAGGGGAGCAAACGGG
rnacentral:rRNA from 1 species